GAUGAACGCUGGCGGCGUGCCUAAUACAUGCAAGUCGAGCGAACAGACGAGAAGCUUGCUCCUCUGACGUUAGCGGCGGACGGGUGAGUAACACGUGGAUAACCUACCUAUAAGACUGGGAUAACUUCGGGAAACCGGAGCUAAUACCGGAGAAUAUAUUGAACCGCAUGGUUCAAUAGUGAAAGACGGUUUUGCUGUCACUUAUAGAUGGAUCCGCGCCGCAUUAGCUAGUUGGUAAGGUAACGGCUUACCAAGGCAACGAUGCGUAGCCGACCUGAGAGGGUGAUCGGCCACACUGGAACUGAGACACGGUCCAGACUCCUACGGGAGGCAGCAGUAGGGAAUCUUCCGCAAUGGGCGAAAGCCUGACGGAGCAACGCCGCGUGAGUGAUGAAGGUCUUCGGAUCGUAAAACUCUGUUAUUAGGGAAGAACAAAUGUGUAAGUAACUAUGCACGUCUUGACGGUACCUAAUCAGAAAGCCCCGGCUAACUACGUG
rnacentral:rRNA from 1 species